AGCCAGCAUUCCGCUUCAGCACAGAGCUGAGCAGAACUUGAGGAAAAAAGGCUUCAGAAGCUGCCCAGUCGGUGACUGGCCUGCAGACUCCAGAGCUGGAUUAACCUCAUCUUCUGCCUGGAACACUGUCAUUCUGGACACAGUUACUGGAAAAUCAUGAGAAAGAAAAAAAAAACAAAACCCCUGCUUGUCAGUGUGCUCAACUAAGAAGAUCACUUGGAACGAAUGAUUUAAGAUAUCAAAGAGCAAAAAGAGAUUGGAAGUCCUACCUACCUGACUGCCAUAUGACUUGGACAAACAGAUAACUGUGAGCACUCUGGAGCCAGGUCCUUCAGUGCAAGCGCCUGUCAAUAAUUCACUUCUACCCUCAAGUUGGCCCAAGUCCUAAAGAAGUUCUGGAAACCAAGCACAAUACUGCAAACAAGCUCCAUUAUUAAAAUUUGCUGUUCAUAACAUCCUUCUCAUGGAAAGGGUCUUCCAGAGGAAGACUGGGUCACCCCGACCACCCUGCUUCCAACUGGAAAAGCACAACCACCUGGCUGCCAUGCAGACUAUGAAGUGAAAACGCCCAGGCCUGAGCCCCAUCUACUAACUGUGCUGCUACUUCAGGACUGCACCUUUUUUUCCUGAUAAUUACUGUGAACAGUUUCAUCCAAGCUUCAAGGGACAAAGAUGUACACACUUCUUAUAAGCUGGCUCCAGUAGAGGUAAUGAAAAGAAGAAAACAGAUGGGUAGUGGAGUCACAAUAGUCACUAAAAAAUACCCAUGCUUACAUCUCUUCUGUAAGAGAAGGGACUUGACUCUACACACCCACCAAUAACCCCAUUUCUCCUACUUAGAAGCACUUAUGAGAAACAACUUUCAGAUCAAUACAAUUCCAUCUCCUUAGUACACAGUAAAUUAAAUAAAAAAUUAUCUGAGAUUUUGAAACAACUAAAGUUUCAAA